rnacentral:ncRNA from 2 species
AAUUGCCGCCUGCUUUAAGGUUCCGUUGGUUCUUCAAAAUCAACGGUUAAACGGGAAGCCGGUGAGGAAACUCCAAGGCCGGCGCUGCCCCCGCAACGGUAAAUAAGUCAAGCGUCAUCGAUACGCCACUGUGCUCAGGCACGGGAAGGCGAUGACGCCGGCAACCAGCCGCUUAUAAGCCCGGAGACCGGCCUGGAAAGUAUCAUUCGG